rnacentral:lncRNA from 1 species
ACAGAGGUCAGGUUCUGACUGCUGGUGCAGGAGCAGGUGCAGCCCCCUCCCACAGGCAGAGAGCAGGCUGAGGGGAGAGCAGGGGACACUGCAGACCCCCUGCCAGCUGGCCCCGCAGCCCAGGCCUGCCCCCGCGCCAAGUCCUUGGGCUCUGACACCAGAGGACAGCUCAUGGGGGGCCUCACCUGGGGGGGGCCUUACCUGGGGGUCCUCAGAGGCCUCGACUGUGGGAGGUGCCUGAACCCCUCCUGGCUGCAGCCUGAGAUGCAGGGUGGGGUGUCUGAGACUCGGGCAGGCCUUUCUCUGUGACCAUUGGCCCCACUUGCUCCUCUUCAAUGUGGGCCGGUCUCUAGGGUUCACCUGGACGUGGGCACUGAGGUUCCUUCGUGGAGAAAGGGGGUUGUUCUCCAGGUCCUGGAAGAAGAGCUUGGCCUCCUCCCACAGCUCAUGCCCCCACCGGCCAUGCUCCAGGCCCAGGAAGCCUUGCGCUCCCUCCACAAGCUGAACUGAGAACAGCAGAGUCAACAUCACCUGGAGGGCUUGAUCCUGGAGCAGGGGUUGCUCAUUACGCUGCUGAUGUAAGAGGUUUUGUCUGAAAUAGAUUCGCAGGCAGGAAAGGGUCCUGGAUUGAUGCCUCAAGACCUGGAGCAGGUGCUCCCGCCUGAGCACAGUGGGCUCACGGGCAGGGAGGGCGCUGAGCACCUGCUCCAGGCUGUUUCUCUAGCAAGACAUGACUGUGCUCAUGUGGCCAGUGUAGGGCCAGGGGUGGCUAGGGAGACACCACAGGCUCAGCGUAGACACAACAGGGUAACUGGGGAGACCACUAGGUCUGUGUGGACACACGUGGGGAAGCAGCGCUCCAUCCCAGGUCAGUAAAAACAGGGGAAGAAAGGAGACAACUGGGGUCAGUGUAGACACAGCAGGGGAACUAGGGAGCUAUCCUGGGCCAGUGUGGACACUGCAGGGAGAUGCCUCAGACUCUACCACACUGCCAGUGUCAAAGUCAAGUGAGAGAGCACUGACUGGGCAGCUUGUCACCUGCCUGCCCCUUGGUCAGGGAGGGCUAGACACGCAGGAGCAGCUUCAUCAAAACUGCAUCUAACGAGGAAGGUGUGGGCUCCAGGCAGAACCCCAUGCUGGGACCCAAGGAAGGGAGGGCCGGCGACCACAGAAGUCCCCCAGCCUCAGCCCGCCUCCUUGCACGGCAGUGCCCCGGGAGCUCACAGAAGUUUGGGCAGCCAGGACCUCAGGCGAUGCGUCACUCUGAUCUUGAGACUUUAAUUAACCUUCUCAAAUCUCCAGCCCGUGUCUCCCUCUCUCCUUCACUUGUCUGGAUCUCAGCUGGGAAGAACGGAGACUUGAGACAUUCUGAAAAACACAGAGUUUGAUUUGCUAGUUGCCAAGAAAACUCAUUUUCAGGGAAUUUAGGAAGCUCAGCUGUUGGCUCCAUCUAAUGCCUGCGGCUUAUUGUGCACCCGAUGAAGUGACAGGUUUUCCCAUGAGAGACUGUG